rnacentral:Y_RNA from 1 species
AAAUGAUUUAACUGCUAGUGGUGUUUGCAACUAACUGAUCACAACCAGUUACAGAUUCCUUUGUUCUUUCUCCACUCCCACUGCUUCACUUGACUAGCCUAAA